GAUGAACGCUAGCGGCAGGCUUAAUACAUGCAAGUCGAGGGGCAGCACGGUUAGCAAUAACUGGUGGCGACCGGCGCACGGGUGCGUAACACGUAUACAAUCUACCUUAAACAGGGGGAUAGCCUUUCGAAAGAGAGAUUAAUACCCCGUAAUAAAUUGAACGGCAUCGUUUGAUUUUGAAGCUCCGGCGGUUUGAGAUGAGUAUGCGUCUGAUUAGCUAGUUGGUGAGGUAACGGCUCACCAAGGCGACGAUCAGUAGGGGAUCUGAGAGGACUAACCCCCACACUGGGUACUGAGACACGGACCAGACUCCUACGGGAGGCAGCAGUAAGGAAUAUU
rnacentral:rRNA from 1 species